rnacentral:rRNA from 1 species
AUUGAACGCUGGCGGCAUGCCUUACACAUGCAAGUCGAACGGCAGCACGGGUGCUUGCACCUGGUGGCGAGUGGCGAACGGGUGAGUAAUACAUCGGAACAUGUCCUGUAGUGGGGGAUAGCCCGGCGAAAGCCGGAUUAAUACCGCAUACGAUCUACGGAUGAAAGCGGGGGACCUUCGGGCCUCGCGCUAUAGGGUUGGCCGAUGGCUGAUUAGCUAGUUGGUGGGGUAAAGGCCUACCAAGGCGACGAUCAGUAGCUGGUCUGAGAGGACGACCAGCCACACUGGGACUGAGACACGGCCCAGACUCCUACGGGAGGCAGCAGUGGGGAAUUUUGGACAAUGGGCGAAAGCCUGAUCCAGCAAUGCCGCGUGUGUGAAGAAGGCCUUCGGGUUGUAAAGCACUUUUGUCCGGAAAGAAAUCCUUGGCCCUAAGACGGUCGGGGGAUGACGGUACCGGAAGAAUAAGCACCGGCUAACUACGU